ACCAGGGAUGAUAACGUUGCUUUAGCAACGGCCCGAAGGGCGAGCCGCAAGGCGAGUAAUCCUCCCGGAUGCACCA
rnacentral:sRNA from 1 species